UACGGGGGGAGCAAGCGUUGUUCGGAUUUACUGGCGUAAAGGGCGCGUAGGCGGUCAGCACAAGUCAGUUGCGAAAUCUCCGGGCUUAACUCGGAAAGGUCAACUGAUACUGUGCGACUAGAGUGCAGAAGGGGCAACUGGAAUUCUCGGUGUAGCGGUGAAAUGCGCAGAUAUCGGGAGGAACACCAAUGGCGAAGGCAGCUUGCUGGGACGGUACUGACGCUGAGACGCGAAAGCGUGGGGAGCAAACAGG
rnacentral:rRNA from 1 species